rnacentral:lncRNA from 1 species
AAGUCCCAAGUUUGUCUCUUUUUUUUUUCUAAAUAAUUUUGCAGACAGGGUAACCGGAGGCUAACCCCAUACAUUGGGUCCUCUAGGACGCUUAUUCAAAGGAAACUUGAAAAUUCAGUCGCCGUAACAGGAAUUUGCCUCUAUGGUCUUUGGAUAGGAGGGUUUAUUAUGAGAGAUUUUACAGGACCACGUACGAAAGAGCCUAGGCCGCGGGCCUACCACGGGUCACCCACUACUGCAGACGCAGCUACUGGGCAACAACUAGGGAGGUUGCCACAUAUCCCCAGCACAGUCCAGCGGCGGGUAAGUGGAUCUCAAACCCAGUCCUGCUCUGGCCUCGACUGCGGGAACGACACCCUCUGCAGCUCUCUGACCCUCAGUUUCCUAAUCUGUAAGAGCCUGUGUUGGGACGAAAUGGUCUGACAGCUCACGGUCGGCGGGACCCAGGCAACCUAACAGGAAUCCCUGCCCCUGGACCAGCAGAGCGGGGCCAACCCCAUUCUGUGCUGCACCC